rnacentral:rRNA from 1 species
CAAUAGCGUAUAUUAAAGUUGUUGCAGUUAGAACGCUCGUAGUCGGAUUUCGGGGCGGGUCGACCGGUCUGCCGAUGGGUACGCACUGGCCGACGCGUCCUUCCUUCCGGAGACCGUCUCACUCUUAACUGAGCGGAGGCGGGAGACGGAACGUUUACUUUGAAAAAAUCAGAGUGUUUCAAGCAGGCAGCUCGCUCUUGCAUGGAUUAGCAUGGGAUAAUGAAAUAGGACUUUGGUGCUAUUUUGUUGGUUUCGAACACCGAAGUAAUGAUGAGAAGGGACAGUCAGGGGCACUCGUAUUCCGCCGAGAGAGGUGAAAUUCUCAGACCAGCGGAAGACGAACCACUGCGAAANCANNNGCCAGGGAUGUUUUCACNGA